UUGAAUUCUGAACUCUGAAGUGUAAAGCAUCUGCUGAUCAUGUGCAUAAAUACAGGCAAACUCAUGAAUUUGACUUUAGCACACCAGGUAUCUAUUUCACAUGCAGACUUGGGAGGAAAACUCAACACUAAGUAUUUUACUGAAAUGCAAUACAAAAAGUUGUAAAACAAUAUUCAUUUCAAAAUUCAGGAUGAUUUCUCAAAAUAGUGAUGGUAUCUUGAUCAUUGGUACUCUUGACAC